AACACAAAUCUACAAGGGAUGUGCAUCUUCCUCCCUGUGUCCAGCCGUAACCUCUCAGACAUUUUCAGUCGACCUGGGUUUUCAAAGUGCUCUGGCUUCUGCUCAAUGCUGCAACACAGAUAACUGCAACUCAGCAACUCUACCAAAUCCUGCUUCUCAGUCAAAUAAUGGCGGAGUAUGCAACUUUUGUGACCCUUCUACUGGUCAGUGCUCCUCCACAUUACAGUGUCAGGGAGUGGAGAACCAAUGCUUCCAAUCAACCAUCAAAAGCAGCACCAGCACGUAUCCAGGUUACGGCUGCGCAUCUGCAAACCUGUGCGCAGCUGCUUCGAGCCUGGGUUCUCUACCUUUCAUGCAGAGUGUUGGUACCGUAUCAGGUGUUGCCUGUUCUGCAGCACCAACUACAACUGCUGCCCCA
ensembl:lncRNA